CUGAUUUUACAAGGGGUUUUGUGGGUUCAAAUGGGGGAUUAUCAAGAUUCAUUUUUAUUUGCUACUCAUUUUGCGAAAACCAUUUACUUUGACUCAAUUAAUCCACUACAGUAGUAGCUACUACUCGAUUAUUCAACUCAGAUAUUAAAUAUAUGUUGUUCUCUACAAUAUGUAUGUUCUCUAAAGGAUCCCAAGGACAGGAACAGUUUCUGUGACAAGGGGAAUUAUGUCUUCAAUCAGCCUGUCUACCCAUUUGUCACGCACUCAAGGAGCCCAGCUAUCAAUUACCUUCGUUUUCAGGCAUGUUUUUGUGCUAUCCAGAAAGAUUGGCAACAGAAAGAUUUCCACUAUCGUUUGCGAAGGGACCCGCCUGGAUGGUUGGCAAUCAAUGCUUAACAAAUAUUUUUCUUACAUGCCUCAUACGUACGAGGAGGAGACAGACAACAAAGGCUCCCCUCAGUAUAUUGGUCAAACGGCAAUUUUCCUCAAUUAACUGCAAUUAUUAGGCAAAGCAAUAGACUGAGGGAGAGCGGAGAUGGGUACUCAGAGAGUCUGCCUGUUUCACUUGACUGCACUUAAUUAGUCAUUGGCAAAUGAUGCUGCAAUACUCAAUAAAUGAUGGACUGAUUGUACUGCGCUCAAGGACAGAUCUCCAAUUAAAAGUGUCGCCUAUUCGCGCAAUUAAAUUUCAAUUAAAGUGAA